AGCGAACGCUGGCGGCAGGCCUAAUACAUGCAAGUCGAACGAACCUUUCGGGGUUAGUGGCGGACGGGUGAGUAACACGUGGGAACGUGCCCUUAGGUUCGGAAUAACUCAGGGAAACUUGUGCUUAUACCGAACGUGCCCUUCGGGGGAAAGAUUUAUCGCCGUUAGUGGGGCCGGCGUCUGAUUAGCUAGUUGAUUGAGGUAAUGGCUCACCAAGGCGACAAUCAGUAGCUGGUCAGAGAGCAAGAUCAGCGACUUUGGGGCUGGGACACGGCCGAAACUCUUACGCGAGGCAGCAGUGGGGAAUCGUGCGCAAUGGGCGAAAGGCUGACGGUGCCAUGCCGCGUGAAUGCUGAAGGUCUUAGGGUUGUAAAAUUCUUUCACCGGGGACGGUAAUGACGGUACCCAGAGAAAAAGCCCCGGCUAACUUCGUG
rnacentral:rRNA from 1 species